rnacentral:rRNA from 1 species
GACGAACGCUGGCGGCGUGCUUAACACAUGCAAGUCGAACGGAAAGGCCCUGCUUGCCGGGUACUCGAGUGGCGAACAGGUGAGUAACACGUGGGUGAUCUGCCCUGCACUUCGGGAUAAGCCUGGGAAACUGGGUCUAAUACCGGAUAGGAGCCAUUUUUAGUGUGAUGGUUGGAAAGUUUUUUCGGUGUAGGAUGAGCUCGCGGCCUAUCAGCUUGUUGGUGGGGUAAUGGCCUACCAAGGCGGCGACGGGUAGCCGGCCUGAGAGGGUGGACGGCCACAUUGGGACUGAGAUACGGCCCAGACGCCUACGGGAGGCAGCAGGGGGGAAUAUUGCACAAUGGGCGCAAGCCUGAUGCAGCGACGCCGCGUGGGGGAGGACGGCCUUCGGGUUGUAAACUCCUUUCGCUAGGGACGAAGCUUUUUGUGACGGUACCUAGAUAAGAAGCACCGGCUAACUACGUG